UGGGGAAUAUUGGACAAUGGGCGCAAGCCUGAUCCAGCCAUGCCGCGUGUGUGAAGAAGGCCUUCGGGUUGUAAAGCACUUUUGUCCGGAAAGAAAUCCUGUCGGCUAAUACCCGGCGGGGAUGACGGUACCGGAAGAAUAAGCACCGGCUAACUUCGUGCCAGCAGCCGCGGUAAUACGAAGGGUGCAAGCGUUACUCGGAAUUACUGGGCGUAAAGCGUGCGUAGGUGGUUUGUUAAGUCUGAUGUGAAAGCCCUGGGCUCAACCUGGGAACUGCAUUGGAUACUGGCUUACUAGAGUGCGGUAGAGGGUGGCGGAAUUCCCGGUGUGGCAGUGAAAUGCGUAGAUAUCGGGAGGAACAUCCGUGGCGAAGGCGGCCACCUGGACCAGCACUGACACUGAGGCACGAAAGCGUGGGGAGCAAACAGGAUUAGAUACCCUGGUAGUCCACGCCCUAAACGAUGCGAACUGGAUGUUGGAGCAACUAGGCUCUCAGUAUCGAAGCUAACGCGUUAAGUUCGCCGCCUGGGAAGUACGGUCGCAAGACUGAAACUCAAAUGAAUUGACGGGGUCAUAGCUGUUUCCU
rnacentral:rRNA from 1 species